CUGGAAGCAAGAUGCUCUGUGGCCUGUCUCCCCUUGAGGAAACAAGGCUGGGCUUUGUGCCUUGCACCUCUAGGGCAAUGUAGGACACGGCACAGCAGAUAUUCUAUUUCAGCGAGAUCAGGGCUUUGCAGAAACUGCGUUUCACAUGCCUUUGUAAGACCUGUUUGCGAUCAGCUGUAAGAGCACUGCGGAGAGGGAGUUGUUUCUUAGCUUUGCAAAGAGCUGGAAGCAAGACGCUUUGUGGCAUGUCUCCCCUUGAGGAAAGAACGCAGGACUUUGUGUAUUGCACCUCUAAGGCAAUGUAGGACAUGAUCCAGCAGAAGUUCUACUUCAGAGAGAUCAGGGCUGGAAAGAAACUGCGUUUCACAGUCCUUUGUAAGAGACGUUCCCAGUAGGCUGUAAGUGCACUCUGGAGAGCGAGUUGUUUCUUAGCUUCCAAAAGAGCUGGAAGCAAGACUGUUUGUGGCUUGUCUACUUUGGAGGCAAUGUCUCAGCGCUUAGUGACUCGCAUCUCUAGAGCAAUGUAGGACAUGCCUUAGAGCAGAAGUUCCAACUCGUCGAGAUCAGGGCUGGAAACAAACUGCAUUUUGGGACUUUGUAUGAGAGGUUCCUGGUAGGCUGUAAGAGCCCAGGGGAAAGCGUCUACUUUCUCACCUUGCCAAAGAGCUGGAAGCAAGACAGUCUGUGGCCUGUCUCCUAUUAUGGAAGCCCGGCAGGGCUUUGUGACUUCCUCCUCUCAAGGGCAAUUUAUUAUGCUGCAGAGCAACGGUUCUACUUCAUUGAGAUCAGGGCUGGGAAGUAACUGCGUUUCAAAGGAUUUGUGAGAGAUAUUCCCAGUAGGCUGUAAGAGCACUGUGGAGAGCGACUUGAUUUUUAGCUUCCCAAAGAGCUGGAAGCAAGACGCUUGUGGCCUGUCUCCACUUGAGGAAACGAGGCAGGAUUUUGUGCCUUGCACCUCUACAGCAAUGUAGGACACGGCAGAAUAGAAGUUCUACUUCAGUGAGAUAAGGGUUGGGAAGAAUCUGCAUUUUACUGGCCUGUCUGAGAGAUGUCCCCGUUAGGCUGUAAGAGCCCUGUGGAGAGCGAGUUGUUUCUUAGUUUCUGAAAGAGCUGGAAGCAAGGACGUUUGUGGCUUGUCUCAUUUGGCAGCAAUGACUCAGCGCUUUGUG
rnacentral:lncRNA from 1 species